UUGUGCCCGUGCAUCGUAGGACAGAGACUUCGAAUCAAAUCAAAAUAGGAACUCCUAAAUUAAAAUCUCCCAUUUCUCUGGAUUCUAUUCGUUUAUAGCGUUAACAUAUAACAAACAACAACCACAACAAACACAAAAAUUAAUAAUGAGUAUAGUAUACCAUAACAAUUUUAUCAAUUAACUUCACAAUUUGCAAUUUUAAGAAUAACGAAUAAAAUCAACUUCUUAAUAAAAAC